AUACGGAGGGUGCGAGCGUUAAUCGGAAUUACUGGGCGUAAAGCGUACGUAGGCGGUUAGUUAAGUUAGAUGUGAAAGCCCCGGGCUUAACCUGGGAACUGCAUUUAAAACUGGCUAACUAGAGUUAAGUAGAGGGGAGUGGAAUUUCAGGUGUAGCGGUGAAAUGCGUAGAGAUCUGAAGGAACACCAGUGGCGAAGGCGACUCCCUGGACUUGAACUGACGCUGAGGUACGAAAGCGUGGGUAGCAAACAGGAUUAGAUACCCUAGUAGUCC
rnacentral:rRNA from 1 species